rnacentral:rRNA from 1 species
CUUUUAUCUUAUUAGAGGAACUCGCAUCUUAAUCCGAUAAUCCCCGAUAAAUUUAUCUUUUUCUUAAAGCCUUUAUAUCGCCGUCUCAAGAAAUAGAUAAAAUCCUAUUUCAAAAUAAGACUCUUUUCACGUCAGGUCGAGAUAAAACCCAUGAAAAAGGGAGCCGAGUUACUUAUACUUUACAUUUACGUUCUUUAAUUCAAACAUUCAAGAAAAAAGGAUUUAAUAGUAAUAAUUCAAUAAUAAUUUAUUAUGAAAAAGUGAAAGAAGGCGUACAUAUCGCCCGUCACCCUCGUCCAAAGAUGAGGUAAGUCGUAACAAAGUUAAUGUAUUGGAAAAUGCAUUAAGGG